rnacentral:rRNA from 1 species
CCCUACGGGAGGCAGCAGGGGGAAUCUUGGGCAAGGGGGGCGCCCGAAUCCAGCCAGCCGCGUAAGGAUGAAGGCGCCCGCCGGAGAGUGAGAAGGCAGAAGGGUGUAAAGCUGCUCAUACGGGGAUAAGACGGUACAGAGAGAAGCACAGCUACACG